GUCUCUUAAUUUCUUUUCACCAUCCUCUUACCCUCACGUUCCUGGUCGAUUUGUCAUGCCGGCCACGACAGAGGCCAUCUUAGUUUUCUUGAAGAGGCUUGAUUUAGAUGACUGCUUCUGGAAAAACUCUGAACUUCCCUGCAGGACAAACUGAUGGAAUGCAAGCUCCUGAGGAGGGAAAGAUGUCUGUGAAAAGUCAAGUCAGGCUGAAUCCCCUUCUGUUCUUCAGGAGUUCUCUUCAAAGUAUUUUAUUCUUUUUCUCAGGUCAGGUCUGAAGACGGGACACUGUACAUAAUUGUUAUCAUAUCCCGGAGCUGACAUAGACUCCUGAACUGGUUGUGGCAUAGUAUUAUUGUUCUAAUUAGUCCUAGAAACUCAGAGUUAAAGGCUCACACUGCAUGUUCUUUGGCAUGACAUCAGUCCACCAUUGACUCUGACUGUCAGCAGGAGUUUAAAUAUUUGAGCCAAAGCAUUUCGCCUACAGUUAAUAUUUGUGUUCAAAGACAACUUCCGUGGAAGGGAAAGAAAACCUUUUUGUUAUCAUUGUGCCCUCUUGGGAAUCAGCACUAUCCAAAUUAACCCUAACUUCUCACACUUCCCAAUAAAUUCACCUCUUAAAUUUUUUAAUUACCAACAAAAAUGGGAACGAUAGUCUUCAUAAUUAGCUUUUGAGAGAUAGAUCAGUCACACCUUUUAAACCCAAACUAUGUCUAAUGUGGAUUUCAGCCUAAUGAAUGAGCUGUAAAUACACUGCCUUUCUACGCAGUGAGACUUGAUGGAAACCCUCGUUUUACAAGGGCUGGUUAUUGAUUAAAUGACUAGACUGUUUUUGGCACUGAUUAUUUCUAUUCCUGUACACUUCUCAUCACAGGCUCAGAAGAAUUGUUAAAGUAAUUAAAGAGUUAUUAAAGGUCACUGUCCCCUUACCCACUCAGUGCUAGUACCAUCUUUACAACAUCCCCCCCAAGUGGUUGUCUUGACCACAGUAGAACAUAUCUAAUGCUAGAUAAAAACAGACGCCAGCAAUCAGGAGACAGUUCUAAUUUGGAGUCAUCCCUCGAUGCAUUUUAUUUAAAAUUAUGGUAAGCUUCAUCUUAGGGGAGGACCUAAAUACAUAACUAGAUAAAGUGAUAGAAAAUGUGGUGAAUGUUUUGACAGAGGCACAAAUAAGUAGUUCAGAAAUACCUGACUGCAUGGGAGAGUCUGGGAAAGAUAUUCAGAGGGGACAUUUGAGUUUGUCCUAAAGGGUAAGUAGGGGUGUGUGUGUGUGUGUGUGUGUGUGUGUGUGUGUGUAGGGGAACAGUAUUUCCACAGAAAAGAUAACAGGUGCAAAGUUACGGAAUCUAGGAAGAGCCAUGGUAAGACUUGCUGACAAGUGCAGAAUGGCUGGGCGGGAGGGUUCCUGAAGUCGAAUGGUGAAAGAAAUGGCUUGCACCAGGCUAUUUGGAGCUUUGCUUGCUCGACCAACAAGUUUAGAUUUCAUCCUGCAGGGAAGGAGGAAGAUGUCAAAAGGUUUAGAGCAUGGGAGCGACCUGAUAAGAUUUCAGUUUUUGGAAGAUAAUCCCAGUGGCAGUUUUGAAGACUCAUCUGAUGGAAGAGAGCCUGAUUCAGGGGUACAGAUUGCAUGGAAAGCCAUCUGUUUUAUUGGCAUCCCACGUGUCCCAGUUUUGGUUCAGAAAGCAGAGUCUCUGUGUGUACAGCCAGUCUUAACUGGCUGUGGCAGAUUAUUGUAAAAUGUCAUGCCUAAUUUGUGUGAAUACCGGCAAAGUAAAAUGGGAAAUUGUGGCAAUUACUUGGAUUGCACAGGGAAACAAGAAUUGACCCAAAAUACCCAACGUAAAGAAUCGUAAGAUGGGAAAUCCUUAUGUCA